rnacentral:tRNA from 1 species
GCCCCUGUAGCUGAGUUGGCAGAGGGGUCUGAAUGUCAGUGCAGAGGUCGUGGGUUCGAUUCCCACCAGAGGCU